GUCAUAUAAUUUCAUAUGUUUCUGCUUCUUAUGAUUAAUUAAACUAGCCAAAUAAUAAGACAGGAAUAGAAAAAGAAUGCUGGGGUCUACCCACCACAAUAAUUAACAAGAAAGUAAACUGUUGUGGGAAAUAAAAAAAUAGCUAGCCAGAAGAAAUUGUGCACACUAGGGAAAGCAGGGGACAUGGAUAUGGCAGGAAAAUAAAAGUGAUAGAGACAUUGAACCAUCAUCUUUUGCAUUGCAGAAAAGAGAAGAGGAUGAGAUUGAGGCAAGUAGAUGAUGCUCUUACGUUAAAGGGCUUCAAUGAAUUAUAAUUGGCUCGUCUUUAUUACAUUUAUAGUGGAAGUUUGCAUGAUUGCUUGUCGACUCAUCUCAUCCCUUCACUUGUGUCGGGAUUUCUUAUUUCCCAAAAGAAAUUUAUAUACCGAAAUCAAAGCAUGAGUUACUCUUGUAAGUGGACAGCCGAACUGUGAAAGAUGGAGAUUUCAACCAGAAGGUUUCAAGUUUGAAUCUUCUGGAUAAGUAUGAUUAGUCAUUUUCAUGACAAGUGAUUAAUUGCCAAUUACUCUGUUUUCUCCUCUGCCUCUCCCCUGAGUUUAACCUUUGUAAUUGCCAACAGCUGUGUCUCUUUUCUUUACGCCCUGUUUCGGCUUAUUAUUGUACCAUGAUACGGUAAGCGGCUAGAUUGAAGUGACUAAAAUGCCCUCCAGUCUGUUGCUGUUACGUGCUAUCGUGUGUGGGCAAACAUGAGAAUUUAAUGGAGAUGUUUUCUGGGCGUGCUUUGGUCAUUUAAUUGGGUCUCACAGACGGAGAAAGCUACUAUCGGUCGUUUUCAGAGAGGAGACGAGCCAGAGAAAGAGUGAGAUGGAGCAAAUGGGGGAGUCAGAGUAGUAAGGAGUGAGAAGAAGGUACUUUCCAAGUGAUAAUGGUGUGGUGAGGGGGACGGCAUGUCGACGAUGACGGAAAGAAAGUAGAUUAGAUCAGAGAAAUCAAUUAGCGCUGGUAAGGCUCAUGCUUCGUCACCUUCAUUUAACCCGCAGAAAAGCCUUCCAAGGCAUUGUUUUUGCUUCAAAAAGCCAGAAAAUCUAGGUAGGAAAACAUGGUGAUGGAACCUUUGGAGGCUUGAUUUGCCUGAAUUGUGAUGUUUCCAGGUGCUUGACAGGCUGCAGAGUACUCCUCUUAAUGUCGCGCACCUCUGAGUACUCUUCAUUUAUUUUCCGGCCAUGGCGAAGGAAGCGGCUGGCAGUGGCAAAAGGCUUUAAGAUUUCUGAUUCUCCCAAGGGUAAGCCGAUUUCGCUUCAACUGUGAAAUUAAUAUUCAAUUGACGAUUUAAAAUGUCUGGACCUUGAGUUUCAACUUUUAUUUAUUAAAGAAUAGAUUUAAACUUCUGUGAGGUACAACAGAAAUAUGCAUGCAUAUAUUGAUUAAAUAGGAACUUCUGGUGUUUUAUUAUGUUUAUAUAUUUGCAGAUGGAAAAAUCAGGAUGGCCAUUAUUUGUUUUUUUUCUUUUUUUUUUUUUUCUUUCAUUGAACAUGCAAGCUCUUUUUUCCCCUCUCUUGUUUUGGUGCAUGGCAAAGAAGAGGCAUGGACAAGAAAAUAGAGGAGAAAAGAUUUAAAAAUGAGCAAAUAACAAGUAGAAGGUCAUGCUGCAUUUUCCAAGUGACAAUUUUGUGAAUUUAAUUUAAUUUAUAAUUUUUCCUCUGUUAAAGAGCCCAUUACAUAUGAGGCUCGAGUUCAAAUCCGGACCCGAGCAGCCAAUAAUAAUAACAAAACUACUUGGCAAGGUAUGAGAGAUGGUUUUUAGAUCCUAAACCACACAGAUAACCUUUUGUCUCGAAGUGGCAAGUAAUAUUUACGAGUAGUAGUGGGAAUUGCCUUUGGAGAAGUUGCUUUCUGUGUCUACUGCCUUAAGCUAAUGCGAAACAUAUGUCCAUCAAAUGGGAUCAGGCAUAUAUAAGGUUUGGGGUUGAGAAAGAGAUGAAGAGGGACAGCGUUUGAUUUUAUUUCUAAAUAGGUGAGUUCUGGCUUGAAUUUGGCUAUGUUCCUUUUCGGCGGGUAGUUCUUUGCCCUACUUGGUUUACUUUCUUCUUCUUUUUUAUUUAUUUAUUUAUUUUUAUUGUUCUUUGCUAUGCUCUCUGUUAAUAUAUUUUUGCUAAUAUAUGUCUCUAUUGUUAGACAUUUUGGUUUAGUUGAUCAAAACUUUUAAGUACAUGAGGUUGAUUUAUAUAUAUAAUGAAAGAUAUCAAUUUCAUUAUUGAAACACCAUCAAGGUGUAUACAAAUUCCAUUCAAGAAUAAAGAUUACAACAAAAUGAAGCAUCAUGAGGAACUUUAUAGUGUAGACCCUUAUUUUUGUGACCUUGUGAGUAUGUGCAUUAAGGCCAUGAGGAAUCCGAUGAUAAAAAAAUUGUAUGAUUGUGAGAUAUAUUUAAAAGUAUUAAAAAUGAAUAAUCAUAUGUAUAGUAUGUUUCUUGAGGAAAAUAAUUUUGAAGAGUAAGAAAAAGUGUUUAAUUAAAUUUAAAUAAAAUUUAUUUAUGUUUAAAUUUAAUUUUAGAAAUUUAUUUUAUUAAAAAAAACUAAUUGGACCUAAUUGGGCUCUUUAAGACCAAUAAGGCCCACUCGAGAAUUUUGAUUAAAUAAAUAAGGUCAGAAGAAAUAGUGUAGCUCGAACAAAGUGGUGGGAGUUCAAAGGAGUAAAGCAAGUGAAGUUCAAAAAUAAGCUUCUUGAGUCCAAAGUAUGGAAGUUGGAUAUGGAGGCCAAUGAUAUGUGGAUACAUAUGGCAUUAAAGAUUAGAGAAGUAGCUAGAAAAGUACUUGGAGAGUCUAAAGGACAUGGACCACUCUCAAAAGAGAGAUGGUGAUGGAAUGAGUUAGUACAAAAGGCAGUGAAGAGAAAAAGUGAAUGGUAUAAGAACUUACCUAAAUGUGAUAAUAAUGAGGCAUAUGAACAGUACAAGAUAAUAAAGAAAUAGGCAAAAAAGACAAUUAGUCAAGCAAGAGCACAGGCCUUUGAAAAGUUAUAUGAGAAACUUGGAACUAAAGAAGCGGAGAAAGAUAUUUAUAGAUUAGCAAGGAGGAGAGAAAGGAAAUGUCAAGAUCUCAAUCAAGUUAGGUGCAUUAAAGAUAGAGAAGGAAAAGUGUUGGUGAAAGAUGAGAACAUUAAAGAAAGAUGGAGAAAUUAUUUUAAUGAUCUCUUUAAUAAUAGUCAAAAUGGUAAUAGCGUGAAUAUAGACUAUAGAACAAUAGAAAAGAAUGUGAAUUAUACUAGAAGGAUUAGAUCUUUAUAAGUAAAUGAAGCACUUAAGAGAAUGAAAUUGGGUAAAGCCUGUGGACCCGAUGAAAUACCAAUUGAAGUGUAGAAGUGUUUGGGAACUAUGAGAGUGGCAUGGUUAACUAAAUUAUUUAAUAAGAUUCUAAACUUAAAGAAAAUGCCUGAUGAAUGGAGGAGUAUUUUAGUACCCAUUUUUAAAAAUAAGGGAGACAUACAGAGUUGCUCAAACUAUCGAAGAAUUAAACUCAUGAGCCAUACUAUGAAGUUGUGGGAGAGAGUUGUGGAGCAUCGACUACGUCAUGAUACUUCUAUCUCUCUCAAUCAACUUGGUUUCAUGCUCGGUCGUUCAACUAUAGAAGCGAUCUUUCUCGUUAGAAGCUUGAUGGAGAAAUAUAGAGAUGUGAAGAAAGAUCUACACAUGGUUUUUAUUGAUUUGGAGAAGGCUUAUGAUAGUGUUCCAAGAGAUGUCUUAUGGAAUGUGUUAGAAUAAAAGAGGGUAUCUAUUAGGUAUAUACAAGUGUUGAAAGAUAUGUAUAAAGGAGCAACUACUAUUGUGCGCACAGUGGGAAGGGACACAAGAGAUUUGCCGAUCUCAAUUGGAUUACACCAAGGAUCAGCCAUAAGCCCUUACCUUUUUAUAUUAGUUUUAGAUGAAUUGACGAAACAUAUACAAGAGAGUAUUCCUUGGUGCAUGAUGCUUGCGGAUGAUAUUGUUCUGAUAGAUGAGACACAAGAAGGAGUCAAUAGAAAGCUAAAGUUUUGGAGAAGUACUCUAGAGUCAAAGGGUUUUAAGUUAAGUAGAACAAAGACAGAAUACAUGCAUUGCAAGUUCAGUGAAGGCCAAACUGGUGAUAGGGAAGGAGUUAGUUUGAAUGGAGUGGUACUGUCCUAAAGUAAUCACUUUAAAUAUCUAGGCUCAGUCCUUCAAGUAGAUGGGGGAUGUGAGGAGGAUGUUAGUCAUAGGAUUAAAGCCGGUUGGUUGAAGUGGAGACGUGCCACGGGAGUUUUAUGCGAUCAUAAGAUUCCCAAUAAGUUGAAAGGAAAAUUUUACCGUACAGCCAUACGACUGACUAUGUUAUAUGGUAGUGAGUGUUGAGCACUGAAAGAGUCGUAUACGUCUAAAAUAAGAGUUGCAGAGAUGAGAAUGUUAAGGUGGAUGAGUGGCCAUACUAGACUAGAUAAAGUCCGUAAUGAGAGUAUUAGAGAAAAGGUAGGAGUGGUGCCAAUUGAAGAUAAGUUGAGAGAAGGGAGAUUGAGGUGGUUUAGUCAUGUGAAGCGUAGACAUACGGAAGCUCUAAUUAGACAAGGAGAGCACAUUAGGUUAGAGGAUAGAAAGAAAAAAAGGGGUAGACCUAAAUUGACUUGGAGGAGAGUAGUACAACAUGACCUAGAAGCAUUACACAUUUCUAAGGAUUUAACCCAAAAUCGUUUAGAGUGGAGAAAGCGAAUUCAUAUAGCCGACCCCAAAUUUUUGGGAUAAAGGUUUAGUUGAGUUGAGUUGAGUUGUGUAGUGUUUUAACCUAAAUCCUAUAAAUACUUCAUACAAAAGAAGAAAAAAAGGAGAGAGAGAGAGAGAGGAAGAGGAAGAGAGAGAGAGAGAGAGAGAGGGGGAGAGGGGAGGAGAGAACAACACAACGCAUAAAAAAACUCUCACUCCAUCUCUAUCUUUCUUUCUUCUUUUUUCUGUCUUCCUUUUUCUUCAAGGAAGCUUUAAGAUUUCUUUAAAAUAUAUGCUCUAAAUUAUGAAUAUUCAAGAAAUAUGCCAUACAUCUAUACUUUUAUAUUUAUGUGCCUUUAGAUGGUCUCAUAUACUUAUAACAUUUAUGUAUAUGUGAAAAUUUUGAAAGUGAUAAGAAUUCUACAUAUAUUUAGUUUUCUAUCUCCCACUUUUUUAUUACUUUUUGUUAUUUUUUGAAUCUGUAAAAAUUUUAGAAAAAUUAUAUUUAUAUUCUACACAAAAUUUUAUUAAUUUCAGGCUCAAAAAUCACUGAAUUUUUUUUUGCAUUUUGCAAGUUAUAACUGUUUGACGUUAGGGUUCUUGCAAAAUCCAAUUUGUAGGAUACCCGACAUGUGAAGCCCAUAUCUCCCUUGUUUUCUAAUAUUUUUGCACGAAUCUAGUAUCUAAAAUUAAGUUCAAAAUAUAAUGACUCUUUUUCAAUUAGUUUCGCAUUCAUAUCUAUUGUAGUCGAUGAGUUAUGAAUUUUAUAAAAAAGUAGUGCGAUUCUGUCACUGGGAAAAGUUAUGAUUUGUGUAGACUAUUCUGCUAGGGUUUUGUUUGGUCUAUAAAUUUUAUGAUCUUGUAUGAUGUUUCGCUGUUGUCUGUAAUUUUUUCAUGAUUUUUAGACAUGUCUAAUUAUUUUUUAAAAAUCAGAUUUCUUACUGCUGUCAAUCUAUCAAGAUAUGUGAAUUGUAUGUUUAUGCAUGUUCUUGUGUGUUUUUAAGUUUCAAUUGAUAUUUAAUCUAUUUUUCUGUGUUCUUUUAAUUCGAGAAGUGUUAUGAAGUGUUUGGAUUAUGUUAGAAGACUUGGCCCCUUAGGUAGUUAUAACUAAUAAGGAAUUUUAACCUUUUAGAAAACUAGAGUUAAAAUCCAAUGUGAAUUGUUAUUAGUAUUUUUUCUUAUUUUCUUACUUCCUUUAUUUUCUUUAGUUUUUUUUUUUUAUUACAAACAAAAUUGGUAAGUAGCCUUAAGGUAAAUACCAAAUAGGGCAUUUGUGUGGAGCUUAUGUGGAGCUAAACGGGAGUAAGCCACGGAUAUCAUUGCUAUAGUAGAAGAGAAAUUCCUUUUUUAAGGGUAGCUUACCCUAAUGACAACUACAAUUACUGGCAAGUAAGUAGUCCUAAAUUUAUAGAAUAACCAUUGACAUGAAAUUGUAGUAAUAAUAUGAUUUUUAUUUGAUAAAUUAAAAUUAACUUUGUUUUUAACUUAACCAACUUUUGCAUAUAACUAAUUUAAAUAAAUAUUUAAUAAAUUAAAAUUAUUCUUGUUUGUAAAUUAAAUUAAUCUUAGCAUAUAAAAUAAAUUUAAUUUAAUACUUGAUAAUUGUAAAAUAAAUUAGCAUGUUAGAAAUCUUUAUCAGAUUGUAAUUGUUUGGGCCUUAUGUGAUAUUAGAAUAAACUAUACAUGUACAUAAUUAACUUAGUUUAAUUAUCUUUAGGGUAAUUUGGUGAAAAAUUAAUUAAUUAGGUUAAAUAGAAACUUAGGGUUGUUUAAAAUUGAAUUUAUUUGUAAAAUAAAUUUAGUCAUCCAGUAAAUAUCAUUUAAAUAAUUAGUAACCCUAUAGAUAUGAAACUAUAGAUAUGAAACUGUUUGUAAACAACAACCCUUUUAUGAAUUACUUGUAUGUGUAUGAUUAGAAUUACAUUUUUAGGAUAAAGUGUAAUAAAAGAAUAAUAAACAAAACUUCUAGAAACAUUAGUAGUGGACUGGCGCUCGAAUUAACGAGGUUAGAUCUACUGUAAGGGCUGUCUAACACUUUUCCCUUACGUAUUCACUAUUCUGAACCUAGACAUUGAGUUAUGAUAUGAGUCUCCUUCCACAAUGAUAUGCGAGAAACCUGUUGUACAAGCAAGCCGUGUUGCUUCUUUGCAAGCAAUGCUUUUGAGAAUAAGUGGUUCCCGAAUGGAGGGCCAAAUGCUGCAGCAAUUACAGUUUUGAACCACUACUGCAAUAGCACCUCUAUUGUGGAUAUGGUCCACAGCAGCAUCAAAGUUUAGUUUGAUAAAAUUCAUUGGAGGAGGGGACCAGAAUAGCUCUUGAGAUUGAUGAUUCUCAACUGUUCAUCUGAUGGAGAGAUGGCCAAAUGGAAAUCUUCUUGAUUUUUAAAGCCAAAUCGAUAACUUCUCAGAAAUUCAUAGCGUGCUGGUUAAAGAUAAGUGCAUUCCUACACUUCCAAAUCUGCCAGAGAAGGAAAGCCACUAGUUGCAAUAAUUCUGAACGAUUAGAAGCUUGCUUAAGAAUACCUUCCAGUUCUUCUAGCCAACAAUUUAUCAUUUUAGAAUGAGCAAUCAGAGAUGAGUGCAGCUGGAGGCUUGAGUGCAGCCAAAUGGACAUAGCUUUCGGGCAAGAAAAGAAAAGGUGGUGUAAAGUUUCUCUUUGACCACAAAAGUUGCAUUCCGGAGCCACAUGGGGACACGCCUGUGCAAUAAGUCAUUACAUGGAAGUCUCUUAUUGAAGAUGCUCAAAAGGAAGAUUUUAAUUUUGUUGGGCAAUUGAAGCUUCCAAAAAGCCUUCCAAAAGGCAGAGUUUUAAAGUAUCGGAGCUAGGAUCAGGUCGCCCGUCAUUGGAAGAGAUAUAACUCAAAUUUGAAUAUGUCUAUAUUUAAGACUGUUGAUUGCAAUUAUAAUUAUAGUGAUGCAUGUUUAUCAAAUAGUUAUAUUUUUUUAACUGACAUAAAUAUGUGAUUAAUAGCUGUCAAAAUUGAUCUUCUGAA